CAAACGGCUCUUUUAAGAGCCACCCACUUAGUAGAAAAAGGCAUUU
rfam:Danio rerio chromosome 25, GRCz11 reference primary assembly.